UACGUAGGUGGCAAGCGUUGUCCGGAUUUACUGGGCGUAAAGAGCGCGCAGGCGGUCGUUCAAGUCGCGUGUGAAGGCCCCCGGCUCAACUGGGGAGGGUCACGCGAUACUGAUCGACUCGAAGGCAGGAGAGGGUAGUGGAAUUCCCGGUGUAGUGGUGAAAUGCGUAGAUAUCAGGAGGAACACCGAUAGCGAAGGCAGCUCGCUGGGACGGUACUGACGCUGAGACGCGAAAGCGUGGGGAGCAAACAGG
rnacentral:rRNA from 1 species